rnacentral:misc_RNA from 1 species
UUAACUUUAUUUAUAAUAUUACUCAGACAACACAAAAAUCAAGAGUUUGGGGUCCUCUGGCAGGCGCGGACCAGCCUAAGCCGGUGGUCAACAGACGGGCCUGCCAAAGCAACAUAGGUAAUGUAAACAAAGGGUGGGAGAUCUACCCCAAAGGGCAAUUUCUCUGUAAUGAUCCUUCCGCAGGUUCAUCUACGGAAA